AACAGUGGGCUGUGCCUUUUCCCAGGUUGUAAAAAGGUGACUGGUUAGAGUCCCAACGUUCUAUUUGUUGGGGGAGGAAAUGUAGAGGGAAUGUCAUCUGAGGCCACUGGCCUCUGAGAUACAAAACAAAGAUGCAGCAGGCUCCAGCCCAGAGUGGGAGCCAGGUGACAGACGACAGGAAGGCCACAGAAAGGAACCAGGGAAGGCACUGUCUUCCUGAUGAACCCAUGGAAGGAAAUUUCCCAUUGCCAGUGAUGCAGCCCUGGGGGCCAGGACCAGGCCAGCUUGCCAGCCUUGGAGAUGAAGGUUGCUGAAGGGUGAUCUACAUGGGCCAACUCCAGGCCGCCUAAGGGAGCUGCUGACCUGAGUAAAGUGUUUGCUCACUUGAGUUCACCUAAGAAUCAGCCCUUUAAAAAUAAAUAAGUUAUGUUGA